rnacentral:lncRNA from 1 species
GCCACACUGGUAGACAGAACUGUGGAGAUCAACACCAAAAAUUGUAUCUGGGGAAUUAAUUAGCAGGGAUACCCUUAAGAACAAUAGAGAAUGGUUUUGUGGCUUUCUCAUCCCAAAAUGGGAGAAACAGAGCCGCAGCCCAAGGUAAACCAGGGACAGGGACCCUGUGCUGGAGAAGGGCUGGACGGGAUGCCACGCUGCCAUAGGCUGUACCACUGCUGGAGGACACAGGACUUGGGCCUCGGGCCCUCUGAGCUCCCAGCGGCAUCAUCUUUGGGCGCAGGCAACCCCAGUGGGGCCCAGGCAGAGCUGGCCAUGACCACAGGACCUUGGUGGCAGGCAGGGGCCAAUGGCUCACCAGGCUGGCGGCUCCAGGAAGUGCAGGUGCCAAUCCACCCCGUGGGCCAUGGCAUCCAUGAGAGAGAGAAGCAGAAAGUUGGUCAGCACGGCACCAGCUUCAGGGCCCUAGAGCUCACACCCUUCCCGCAUUGAGAUAGCCCCAGCCCAGGAUGUCUCAGCCCCGAACAGCUGUGCACCCCUCACACUCCCUCAGCGCUGCCCCUGGCAUUUGGCAGGCAGGAGAGUUCUAGCAGGUUCAGCAGCCCCUACAGGGCCCUGAGCCAGCAGGUGGCCCCUAUGCACCCCCAUUUCAUCUCCCCAAGCUCUCGGGUUCCUGGGAUUCCCUGUGGGUAGCGGCAGACCCAAGUCUUUCCCCCAAACACCCUGUCACUGCCAGAACUGAUGCAGACCCAAGGCGAGAGACCCUCACACUUCCCAGCCACAGACCAUCGGCCACCCCCUCCUUCCAAGCCUCUGACUCAGCCCAAGUCCACAGAAAUGCCCCCAAGGAACCCACCGACCCCUGCACACCAGACAGCAGCCACCCCCUCUUCUGAGGCCUGGCCCCUGCCCUCCCCUAACUCUGGGGGUCCUGCAGCAACAGUCCUGGCCUUGCCCGAGGAAAGAAUCAAAAUAACUUUUUUAAAAUAAAAUUAUAGAUAUAUAGAUGUAGAUAUAAAAACAUAAAACAGAAACAACGCAAGCGGACGCUGUUGUGUGCUUACUCUCAGGUCCCU